rnacentral:rRNA from 1 species
GAUGAACGCUGGCGGCGUGCCUAAUACAUGCAAGUCGAGCGAACGGACGAGGAGCUUGCUCCUCUGACGUUAGCGGCGGACGGGUGAGUAACACGUGGAUAACCUACCUAUAAGACUGGGAUAACUUCGGGAAACCGGAGCUAAUACCGGAUAAUAUAUUGAACCGCGUGGUUCAAUAGUGAAAGACGGUUUUGCUGUCACUUAUAGAUGGAUCCGCGCCGCAUUAGCUAGUUGGUAAGGUAACGGCUUACCAAGGCAACGAUGCGUAGCCGACCUGAGAGGGUGAUCGGCCACACUGGAACUGAGACACGGUCCAGACUCCUACGGGAGGCAGCAGUAGGGAAUCUUCCGCAAUGGGCGAAAGCCUGACGGAGCAACGCCGCGUGAGUGAUGAAGGUCUUCGGAUCGUAAAACUCUGUUAUUAGGGAAGAACAAAUGUGUAAGUAACUAUGCACGUCUUGACGGUACCUAAUCAGAAAGCCACGGCUAACUACGUG